CCCUACGGGAGGCAGCAGUAGGGAAUCUUCCACAAUGGGCGCAAGCCUGAUGGAGCAACACCGCGUGAGUGAAGAAGGGUUUCGGCUCGUAAAGCUCUGUUGUUGGAGAAGAACGUGCGUGAGAGUAACUGUUCACGCAGUGACGGUAUCCAACCAGAAAGUCACGGCUAACUCCGUGCCAGCAGCCGCAGUAAUACGGAGGAUGCGAGCGUUAUCCGGAUUUAUUGGGCGUAAAGGGAACGCAGGCGGUCUUUUAAGUCUGAUGUGAAAGCCUUCGGCUUAACCGGAGUAGGGCAUUGGAAACU
rnacentral:rRNA from 1 species